ACGAACGCUGGCGGCGUGCCUAACACAUGCAAGUCGAAGGAGAAAAGGGGCUUCGGCUCCUGAGUAAACCGGCGCACGGGUGAAUAACACGUAGAUAACGUACCCUUGAGUCUGGGAUAACCAGUCGAAAGAUUGGCUAAUACCAGAUACGACUGCGGGAGCUCCGGCUUCUGCAGUGAAAGAUGGCCUCUAUUUAUAUGCUAUCGCUCAUGGAUCGGCCUGCGCACCAUUAGCUAGUUGGUGAGGUAAAGGCUCACCAAGGCUGAGAUGGUUAGCUGGUCUGAGAAAAUGGCCAGCCACACUAAGACUAAGACACGGCCCAGACUCCUACGGGAGGCAACAAUAAAGAAUAUUGCGCAAUGGGCGAAAACCUGACGCAGCGACGCCGCGUAGAUGAUGAAGGCCUUCGGGUCGUAAAGCCCUGUCAAAAAAGAAGAAACAGCCAGACCUAAUACGUCUGGAAAUUGACAGUACCUCCUAAGGAAGCACCGACUAACUCCGUGCCAACAGCCGCGGUAAUACGUAGGGUGCGAGCGUUAAUCGGAAUUACUGGGCGUAAAGCGUGCGCAGGCGGUUUUGUAAGCCAGAUGUGAAAUCCCCGGGCUUAACCUGGGAAUGGCAUUUGGGACUGCAAGGUUUGAGUGCGGCAGAGGAGACUGGAAUUCCUGGUGUAGCAGUGAAAUGCGUAGAUAUCAGGAGGAACACCGAUGGCGAAGGCAGGUCUCUGGGCUGACACUGACGCUCAUGCACGAAAGCGUGGGGAGCAAACAGGAUUAGAUACCCUGGUAGUCCACGCCCUAAACGAUGUCGACUGGUUGUUGGGGGUUUGACACUCUCAGUAACGAAGCUAACGCGUGAAGUCGACCGCCUGGGGAGUACGGCCGCAAGGUUAAAACUCAAAGGAAUUGACGGGGGCCCGCACAAGCGGUGGAGCAUGUGGUUCAAUUCGACGCAACGCGAAGAACCUUACCCAGGCUUGAACAGCGAGUGACCACUCCCGAAAGGGAGCUUCCGCAAGGACACUCGUAGAGGUGCUGCAUGGCUGUCGUCAGCUCGCUGUCGUGAGAUGUUGGGUUAAGUCCCGUAACGAGCGCAACCCUUGUCUCCAGUUGCCAGCGGGUCAUGCCGGGGACUCUGGAGAGACUGCCGGUGUCAAACCGGAGGAAGGCGGGGAUGACGUCAAGUCCUCAUGGCCUUUAUGCCCAGAGCUGCACACGUGCUACAAUGGCGUGGACAAAGGGAUGCCAACCCGCAAGGGGGAGCCAAUCCCAAAAAGCACGCCCCAGUUCAGAUCGAAGGCUGCAACUCGCCUUCGUGAAGUCGGAAUCGCUAGUAAUCGCGGGUCAGCAACACCGCGGUGAAUGUGUUCCUGAGCCUUGUACACACCGCCCGUCAAGCCACGAAAGGGAGGGGCGCCCGAAGACGCUGGGUCCAACCCGCAAGGGAGGCAGGCGGCUACGGCGAAACUCCUGAUUGGGACU
rnacentral:rRNA from 1 species